UUACCACAAACAGAACAUCCGCACCUGUUUCAAAGUCUGCCUAGGGGAUUGCUGUGCAAGUUCGUAUAAACUGUGCUCUCAUGGGCCAAUCUUAGUCUCUCCCAUUUCAUAAUGGUUUUAGACAUCCUCAAAAAGAGACAGAGCUGACACGAAGAGGGGAAAAAAUUCCCAGAGUUUUUCAUGAGCUUCGCAAAGAAGGAAUCAGCAGAAAAUGGAUUUGUGCCUCAGUUUCUCUUAAGCUGCACUGGAAAUGAAAAUGACAUGCAGCUGAAGCACCACCUGCUGAGAGGUUUUAUAUGGAGGAGAACAGCAGGGUCUUUGGCAUCUCCUUGCUGUCCAGCCAUGGCAACAGAAACUCAUCUAAGACCCAGAAGGAAAGAGGAGGGGAACAGACACCCAGAGAGAAACCAGGCAUAACCCUGAUGUUAUCUGGUGCAGCAAAUAACGUUGAACCUGGAGUCAGGAAGACCUGAAUUCAAAUCCAGCCUCAGAUACUUGCCAGCUGA